GACGAACCGUGCGAACGUUGUUCGGAAUCACUGGGCUUAAAGGGCGCGUAGGUGGUUUGCCAAGUCGGGGUUGAAAUCUUUCGGCUUAACCGGAAAGUGGCUUCGAUACUGGCAAGCUGGAGGGAGGUAGGGGCGGAUGGAACUUCCGGUGGAGCGGGUGAAAUGUGUUGAUAUCGGAAGGAACGCCGGUGGCGAAGGCGACCAUCUGGACGGAUACU
rnacentral:rRNA from 1 species